rnacentral:rRNA from 1 species
UACAGAGGGGGCAAGCGUUGUUCGGAAUUACUGGGCGUAAAGCGCAUGUAGGCGGCAACGCAAGUCGGGCGUGAAAUCCCACGGCUCAACCGUGGAAGUGCACUCGAAACUGCGUAGCUAGAGUCCUGGAGAGGAAGGUGGAAUGCUUGGUGUAGAGGUGAAAUUCGUAGAUAUCAAGCGGAACACCGGUGGCGAAGGCGGCCUUCUGGACAGUGACUGACGCUGAGAUGCGAAAGCGUGGGGAGCAAACAGG